GAACGCUGGCGGCGUGCCUAAUACAUGCAAGUCGAACGAACGGAGGAAGAGCUUGCUCUUCCAAAGUUAGUGGCGGACGGGUGAGUAACACGUGGGCAACCUGCCUGUAAGUUGGGGAUAACUCCGGGAAACCGGGGCUAAUACCGAAUGAUAGAGUGUGGCGCAUGCCACGCUCUUGAAAGAUGGUUUCGGCUAUCGCUUACAGAUGGGCCCGCGGUGCAUUAGCUAGUUGGUAGGGUAAUGGCCUACCAAGGCAACGAUGCAUAGCCGACCUGAGAGGGUGAUCGGCCACACUGGGACUGAGACACGGCCCAGACUCCUACGGGAGGCAGCAGUAGGGAAUCUUCCGCAAUGGACGAAAGUCUGACGGAGCAACGCCGCGUGUAUGAAGAAGGUUUUCGGAUCGUAAAGUACUGUUGUUAGAGAAGAACAAGGAUAAGAGUAACUGCUUGUCCCUUGACGGUAUCUAACCAGAAAGCCACGGCUAACUAC
rnacentral:rRNA from 1 species